rnacentral:misc_RNA from 1 species
GAUGAAGAACGCAGCGAAAUGCGAUAAGUAGUGUGAAUUGCAGAAUUCAGUGAAUCAUCGAAUCUUUGAACGCACAUUGCGCCCUUUGGUAUUCCUUAGGGCAUGCCUGUUCGAGCGUCAUUUAAACCUUCAAGCUAAGCUUGGUGUUGGGUGACUGUCCGCUUCACGGCGGACUCGCCUCAAAAUUAUUGGCGGCCGGUACAUUGGCUUCGAGCGCAGCAGAAACGCGAACUCGGGCCCGUCGUAUUGGCUCCCAGAAGCUAUCUUCACAAUUUUGACCUCGGAUCAGGUAGGGAUACCCGCUGAACUUAAGCAUAUCAAUAAGCGUAGGA